CUUGGUAAAGAUAGCUAAGGGGGUACACCCAGUUACAUUCCGAACCUGGAAGUUAAGCCCUUAAACGCCGAAAGUACUGAAUUGGAGACGAU
rnacentral:rRNA from 1 species